rnacentral:rRNA from 1 species
UACGAAGGUGGCAAGCGUUGUUCGGAUUUACUGGGCGUAAAGGGAGCGUAGGUGGUUAGGUAAGCCCUCCGGGAAAUCUUCAGGCUUAACCUGAAAAGGUCGGGGGGGACUGCCUGGCUAGAGGACGGGAGAGGAGCGCGGAAUUCCCGGUGUAGCGGUGAAAUGCGUAGAGAUCGGGAGGAAGGCCGGUGGCGAAGGCGGCGCUCUGGACCGACAUUGACGCUGAGGCGCGAAAGCGUGGGGAGCAAACAGG